rnacentral:rRNA from 1 species
UACGUAGGGGGCAAGCGUUGUCCGGAUUUAUUGGGCGUAAAGAGCGUGUAGGCGGUUAGGUAGGUCCGUUGUGAAAACUCGAGGCUCAACCUCGAGACGCCGAUGGAAACCAUCUAACUAGAGUCCGGAAGAGGAGAGUGGAAUUCCUGGUGUAGCGGUGAAAUGCGCAGAUAUCAGGAGGAACACCGGUGGCGAAGGCGGGUCUCUGGGCAGUAACUGACGCUGAGGAGCGAAAGCGUGGGGAGCGAACAGG